rnacentral:lncRNA from 1 species
UAACCUUGAGUUCUCUAAUGGGCUCGCCAAGGUGUUGAAGCCCGACGAGGGAAUGAUGAUCUGCAGCAGGCCUGAAAAAUAGGAGAUAAGAGCAUUAAGAGUACCAACAUUAUAACUCACCUGAAGAAUCUCAAAAGUCUGAACGUUCAAGUACUGGCCGACUACUCGGUUUGAAACUCUACUGCUACAUUACUUUGGGUGGAAAAUUUCAUUUUUUUGUUCAAUAAUUAAGUUAGAAUCUCAUUCGAUUUUUUCAGUAAAGAAAGAGUUUCUCAAGGUUAUGGAGAUAAGAGCAUUAAGAGUACCAACAUUAUAACUCACCUGAAGAAUCUCAAAAGUCUGAACGUUCAAGUACUGGCCGACUACUCGGUUUGAAACUCUACUGCUACAAUACUUUGGGUGGAAAAUUUCAUUUUUUUGUUCAAUAAUUAAGUUAGAAUCU